rnacentral:rRNA from 1 species
GUAAUAUAUUGGAACGUACCGAGUAAUGGGGGAUAACUAUCCGAAAGGAUAGCUAAUACCGCAUACGCUUUGAGAAGGAAAGCAGGGGAUCUUCGGACCUUGCGUUAUUCGAGCGGCCAAUAACUGAUUAGCUAGUUGGUGGGGUAAGGGCUCACCAAGGCGACGAUCAGUAGUGGGUCUGAGAGGAUGAUCCGCCACACUGGGACUGAGACACGGCCCAGACUCCUACGGGAGGCAGCAGUGGGGAAUUUUGGACAAUGGGCGAAAGCCUGAUCCAGCCAUGCCGCGUGUCUGAAGAAGGCCUUCGGGUUGUAAAGGACUUUUGUUAGGGAAGAAAAGGUUGAUGCUAAUAUCAUUAACUGAUGACGGUACCUAAAGAAUAAGCACCGGCUAACUACGUGCCAGCAGCCGCGGUAAUACGU